rnacentral:misc_RNA from 1 species
GCAUGCCUGUUCGAGCGUCAUGAACAACCCUCACGCCUUGCGUGGUGUUGGGCCCUGCCAGACUCGGCUAGCCCUAAGAUCAGUGGUGGUACCGGUCGGUGCUAAGCGUAGUAAUGCUCUCGCUAUAGUUCUGGGUGGUGGUUCCAUUAAAAUUCCUUAUAUUUGACCUCGGAUCAGGUAGGAAUACCCGCUGAACUUAA